rnacentral:rRNA from 1 species
AUUGAACGCUGGCGGCAUGCCUUACACAUGCAAGUCGAACGGUAACAGGUCUUUCGGGAUGCUGACGAGUGGCGAACGGGUGAGUAGUACAUCGGAACGUGCCUAGUAGUGGGGGAUAACUACUCGAAAGAGUGGCUAAUACCGCAUGAGAUCUAUGGAUGAAAGCAGGGGACCUUUGGGCCUUGUGCUACUAGAGCGGCCGAUGGCAGAUUAGGUAGUUGGUGGGAUAAAAGCUUACCAAGCCUACGAUCUGUAGCUGGUCUGAGAGGACGAUCAGCCACACUGGGACUGAGACACGGCCCAGACUCCUACGGGAGGCAGCAGUGGGGAAUUUUGGACAAUGGGCGCAAGCCUGAUCCAGCAAUGCCGCGUGCAGGAUGAAGGCCUUCGGGUUGUAAACUGCUUUUGUACGGAACGAAAAGUCUUGGGUUAAUACCCUGGGAUCAUGACGGUACCGUAAGAAUAAGCACCGGCUAACUACGUG